rnacentral:rRNA from 1 species
UAAGGAAUAUUGGUCAAUGGGCGGAAGCCUGAACCAGCCAUGCCGCGUGCAGGAAGACGGCCCUACGGGUUGUAAACUGCUUUUGCAGGGGAAUAAACCCCCAUAUGUAUAUGGGGUUGAAUGUACUCUGAGAAUAAGGAUCGGCUAACUCCGUGCCAGCAGCCGCGGUAAUACGGAGGAUCCGAGCGUUAUCCGGAUUUAUUGGGUUUAAAGGGUGCGUAGGCGGCCUUGUAAGUCAGGGGUGAAAGACGGUAGCUUAACUAUCGCAGUGCCUUUGAUACUGCAGGGCUUGAAUGUACUUGAGGUAGGCGGAAUGUGACAAGUAGCGGUGAAAUGCAUAGAUAUGUCACAGAACACCAAUUGCGAAGGCAGCUUACUAAAGUAUGAUUGACGCUGAGGCACGAAAGCGUGGGGAUCAAACAGG